GGAGGUGCGGUCAUGACGAAGUCAUGACAUAUGAAUCGCACCAACCGACGUGCCGCCGAACGCAGUGAGGGGGCAAUACAUA
rnacentral:sRNA from 1 species